AAUCGUUUGCACGCCGGACGAAAUGCUUAGCGGUAUUUCGUCUAUCUUUACGUUCUGAGUUCAAAUUCCACCGAGGUCGACUUUACUUUUCCUCCUUUCGGGGUCGAUAAAUUAAGUACCAGUUGCGUUACUGAGUUCGACCUAAUCGACUGUCUCCCUGCCCCAAAAUUUCGAGCCUUGUGCCUAGAGCAG
rnacentral:lncRNA from 1 species